rnacentral:lncRNA from 1 species
AGAGGGCGUGUGAAUUGCGCGGCGACCGCAGCGGGCGCGCGGCGGGGGGCGGCGCUCGAACCCUCGGGAGCCGCGGAGGACCGCGGCCUUGCGCCUUCCGGCCGCCCACCCCGCACCUGCUAGGACGUGCGCAAAAGUGGCCAGGACCCACCGCCUGCCCACAGGGUACCGGGACGCGGGUACAUCUUCCUGGAACCUCACCCCACUGCCUUCAUCAAAUCCCACUGUCUCAGCCCCAUAUUUCCUUGCACACUGGGACACAAACUGCCCUCUUGCUGUGGGACGGAGGCAUGUGGCACAACCCACUGCUGCGAAUCUAAACAUCAGACCCACUGCGAGCGGGUAUCAUGCUGAAAGGUCUCGAUGGACACUAUCCUGGGUGGGAGGAGUGAUCAGAAGGCCAGUGUUGCUUUGGGGGAGGCGUCGGGACGCCUGGCAGUUUGAUUAAACGCUACCUGGACUGAGGUGGGGCGCCGGAAGGCGGUGAGACCAACAGGCGGGCGAGAUCAGUUUUGAAAAGCCAGCCGCCGCCGCCACUUGGCCCCAAUUAGAGGCCAAACCUUUUAUGUAAACAAGGAAUAAUUAGCUUUGGUAUUAGAAGCGU